UUUCUUCCGCCUUCAGUCUCUGGAUCUUUUGUAGCGCUUCCAACAGCGCUAUGUUGGGACAGAGCAUCCAGAGGUUUACAACCUCUGUGGUUCGUCGGAGCCACUACGAGGAGAGUCCAGGGAAGAAUGUACCAUUUUCAGUGGAAAACAAGUGGAGGUUACUAGCUAUGAUGACUUUGUUCUUUGGGUCAGGAUUUGCUGCACCGUUCUUUAUAGUAAGACACCAACUGCUUAAAAAGUAAUCCAUGAGACAGAUAAGAAGAGGAACAUAUUAAGAGGUGCAAUCUCUUAAAAGGAUCAAACCCUU